rnacentral:lncRNA from 1 species
UCGGAAUUCAUUAUUCAUUUCUUUCAUUCCAAAUCACCUGUCACUAAUUCCAGCCACAUGUAAUAUGUGAAAGAGUAUUUGAUCUAUACUUCUAAUGUGCAUAGAGUUGCCUGAUUGCGAUCCCCUUUACAAAAAUCUUCCGUAGCGUGGCUAAGUGGAAAGAGCGCCGGUUUGGGAAUCAGAGGUCACGGGUUCUAAUCCCGGCUCCGCCACUUGUCAGCUGUGUGACUUUGGGCAAGUCGUUUAACUUCUCUGUGCCUCGGCGACCUCAUCUGGAAAAUGGGGAUUAAGACUGUGAGUCCCGUGUGGGACAACCUGAUUACCUGGUAUCUACCCCAGCGCUUAGAACAGUGCUUGGCAUAUAGUAAGUGCUUAACAAGAGAAGCAGCGUGGCUUAGUGGAAAGAGCACGGGCUUUGGAGUCAGAGGUCAUGGGUUCAAAUCCCCGCUCGGCCAUUUGUCAGCUGUUGUGACUUUGGGCAAGUCACUUAACUUCUCGGUGCCUCAGUUACCUCAUCUGUAAAAUGGGGAUUAAGACUGUGAGCCCCACGUGGGACAACCUGAUUCCCUUGUGUCUACCCCAGCGCUUAGAACAGUGCUGGGCACAUAGUAAGCACUUAACAAAUACCAACAUUAUUAUUAUUAUUAACAAAUACCAUCAUUAUUAUUAUUAUUAUUAUUAUUAGAAGAUGCUACUGACAGUGAAAUUCACUGAUGUGCUUGUGUGUGUGUGUGUGUGUGUGUGUGUGUGUGUGUGUGUGUGCUUGCUCGUCACAGACAGGAAAUACGACCGCUAAUUCUGUUUUAUUGUUCUCUCCCAGGAGUUCUCCCAGUAUAGAGAUCAUGCCUUACGUCAAGUCCUACCUGUCGGCCUCCUGCACAGAACGAGAGCUCAGGAGUCUCGUCGUAUUGGCUGCUCUCCUGGACCCCGACCGGGCCUCAAGGACUCCAGACAGAGCUGGCCGGCUUCCUGACUGGAAGGGAAAGAGGCGGAUGGCGACCGCGGGCGUUCUGAGGUGGCUUUGGAUACAUCUUUGGAUCACAAAUAAUUAUGGUAUUUGUUAAGUCCCGUACUAAGUGCUGAGGUAGAUACCAGACAGUCACGUCUGAAUGAUGAUAAUCACUAAUACUCGCAGUAUUUAUGAAGCACUCGCUAUGUGCCAGGCACUUUACUAAGCACCGGGGCGGAUGCAAGCAAAUGGGGUUGUACACAGUCCCCUACCUUGGGCGUGCCACUUCUUACCACCUCUGUUGAAGUGAAUUUUCCCAAUGCCCGGUCCAGUGUUCUGCACACAGUAAGCAC